rnacentral:rRNA from 1 species
CCCUUAGAUGUUCUGGGCCGCACGCGUGCUACACUGAGUGGAUCAGCGGGUCAGGUUACGCGAGAGCGUUUCCUAAUCUUCAAAUCCGCUCGUGAUGGGGAUUGACGGUUGCAAUUUUCCGUCAUGAACGAGGAAUACCUUGUAAGCGCGGGUCAUCAUCCCGCGCUGAAUACGUCCCUGCCCUUUUUACACACCGCCCGUCGCUCCUACCGAUUGAGUGGUCCGGUGAGGCUUUGGGAUCUAAGCGAAAAGAGCGUUUCGCUCCUUUUGCUGGGAGAACUCAGUCGAACCUUAUCAUUUAGAGGAAGGAGAAGUCGUAACA